AUUGAACGCUGGCGGCAUGCCUUACACAUGCAAGUCGAACGGCAGCACGGGUGCUUGCACCUGGUGGCGAGUGGCGAACGGGUGAGUAAUACAUCGGAACGUACCUUAUCGUGGGGGAUAACGCAGCGAAAGCUGUGCUAAUACCGCAUACAUCCUGAGGGGGAAAGCGGGGGAUCGAAAGACCUCGCGCGAUUAGAGCGGCCGAUGCCUGAUUAGCUUGUUGGUGGGGUAAAAGCCCACCAAGGCGACGAUCAGUAGCUGGUUUGAGAGGACGAUCAGCCACACUUGGACUAAGACACGGCCCAGGCUCCUACGGGAGGCAGCAGUGGGGAAUUUUGGACAAUGGGGGCAACCCUGAUCCAGCAAUGCCGCGUGAGUGAAGAAGGGCUUCGGGUUGUAAAGCUCUUUUGUCAGGGAAGAAACACCGGCUCUAACACAGUCCGGGAAUGACGGUACCUGAAGAAUAAGCACCGGCUAACUACGUGCCAGCCGCCGCCGUAA
rnacentral:rRNA from 1 species